rnacentral:rRNA from 1 species
UACGUAGGGUCCGAGCGUUGUCCGGAAUUACUGGGCGUAAAGAGCUCGUAGGCGGUUUGUCGCGUCUGCUGUGAAAACUCGGGGCUUAACUCCGGGCCUGCAGUGGGUACGGGCAGACUAGAGUGCGGUAGGGGAGACUGGAAUUCCUGGUGUAGCGGUGAAAUGCGCAGAUAUCAGGAGGAACACCGGUGGCGAAGGCGGUGGUCUGGGCCGGAACUGACGCUGAGGAGCGAAAGCGUGGGGAGCGAACAGG